UGCUGCUCUGGCUUCAGCUCUGAGAUCAAACCCCUCACACCUGAGAGAACUGGAUCUGACAUAUAAUAAACUAACACAGUCAGGAGUGAAGCUGGUGAAGGAUCUGAAGGAUGAUCCACAUUAUAAACUGGAGACACUAUGGAUUUAGAUGACAGUCUGAUCUUCUGAUGAUCAUCUGAUGGUGAAUAAGGAUCCACUACAGAGACUCACAGUCAACAGAAUCAGAGACUGAAGAUACAGUGACUUCACUGUUAUAAAUUAAGACUUCAUUUAGAUUUCAAUGAUCCUCUGACAGACAUGAUGAGGCGGCAGAGAAACACCUUUUAUUUCACAGCAGCAAAUUACAGUUUCUCAUUCAGAGAUUAACCAUUUUAUGUGUAUAAAGGCACAGUAUAAACUCAGGGUUUUGUUACAGAGAAAAUAUAGAGCCUGAAUAUGUUUGUGUUUGUGUUGUACCAGCAGAGGGAGACAAAGACUAAUUAAAGAUUAAUUUUUAUUGAUUAUGGAGGAAAAAACAGUUCAAGCUCACUUUAAGAAAACAAAUAAAGGAAGCUUGAGUGUAUACAUCAUGUUUUUAAUAAUAGUUGUAUUACAUUUGUAUUAAUGUAUUAAAGGGCUCAUAUGAUGCGUUUUCAUG